GGGGCCGUAGCUCAGCCGGGAGAGCGCCUGCUUUGCAAGCAGGAAGUCAGGGGUUCGAGUCCCCUCGGCUCCACCA
rnacentral:tRNA from 1 species